ACCUUUUCUCUGCCUUUUGACUCAAAUCAAGUGCAGGCUCUUGUCUUAUCAGUUCAUCUGAUGCAUCCUAUAUCCAAGAACAGCGUAUUAAAUGUGCCUUUUGAGCAUGAAGUUGCAAUAAGAGCAUGCCCCGUCUGUUCCAUACACCAACCUGGCAUUGUAGUACAACUAGAAACAGGUCCCUCUC